CAUUUUUUUUUAAUGUAAUUUUUUAUUUUAUUUAUUCAAAAUAAAUAUAUAUGUUUUCAAAAUAGAAAUACAUCAUACAUCUGUCUCUUUAAACAAACGUUUUACAUAAUGUUGAAAAAUUUCUUAUCAUUUUUAAUUCGUCCUAUAAUCCCUUAAGAACAGCCUGGUAAUUCCUAUAUGUCCACGUGCGAUUAAAGCGUUGCGUAAUUUCCAAUGAUGGACUUGUGCCGAUAAGAACUAACCGAAGCUACGGUUCUCAGAAUCGACACGCAAAUGUGGACGCGCGAUCUGGUACAUCGCAUGGUACGGCAAUAACAUCGUUGGUUAACCAGCAAAGAGCAGUAUCACGCUCGGUUUUAACACUCAUGAUCGGUCGGUCUGCGCGCACGCGAACUCGGAUCGAAAAUGCGUUGCUCGACGUGAGAGACGUCAUAUGCCUGCAUAUUAUAUGUAUUGAACCGAUGAUCACCGGGCUGUCUUUCCGAGCGCGACUGACUCUCAAUAUAGUGACUUUUAUAAUCCUUUACAAGUCGCUGCUCUUGAUAGUUCAUUUUUGCGCCCGAAGAAGCGAUGUCAGCUGUGUGAGAAGAUAAAACAUAGCUUCAAAGUGUAAAACAGAAGUGCUUCUAUGCUUUUUGAUUUCCAUAAAAAACCAGCUUUCAACAGUGAAACUCUUUAGUAGACACAUGCAAACAAAUAUAGUCACAAUAACGAUCGUGUCGAUUGUUAGUUGUUUGACAUGUGCGUCUUUUUAAUAGAUGUACAGUUUACUUAAAAUUAAAUUAGUGUACAUUUCUUGGUAAGGUAAAACGUACGAAGUACUGUCAAUUAAUGAUUAAUUAAGCAAUGUGUAAUUAUAUUAGCAACAGUAAAUUAGGUUGAUGUAGAUGCUUUAUCGUUGAGGCUUCAGAUAUUGCAUUCGCGUGAACAUGAAUAACCAUUUAAUUCACAUAAUUAGCAAACAUCAAUUAAUUAAUUAAUUACAUACCGCCUGAAGGGACGAUGUGUUUAAAAAUAUCUCAUAUGUAUACGUAAAUAAUGAUGCCACAGGGAGGAUCGCCACCGUCCUUCCGCACACGUGCAAGAAAAUAAAAAUCUAUGAGCCGAGGAAACGUUUCCCACCAAAUUACGGUUAAUUAAGGAAGUUCUGAAAGUGAGGGUCGCAAGCAGGCGUUUGCACACAGAUUCUGAUAUGUGCAAAUAAAUAUCUAGAUAAAAAGAAAUAUGUGGAAAAAUUACAAGACAAAAAUAAAUCUACGUCAGAUUUACAAGAUUCGUUAAUUCUUAAAUCCGUCGUUAGAUUCGUGUUAAAAGGCAAUAUUUCAUGGCGGUGGUAGACAUCGCGCGUUAUCUUUUAUCAGGUGUCUCGGAUAGCGUUAGUUUAUUAGUAAAACGAUUAUGAAGGUACGUUAUGGCACAAUGUCUGCACGCGGCAUCUUAAACAUAUAUAAUUAAACAUAAAUCUAUGUGCCAGCAAAUGUAUAUGAAAUGGAGAACCAAGAUAGUGCAAUAGCCUACACAAGUGUGCAUACAUUAUGAUCUUGAAGUAUAUUGUAAUUCAUUAAUCUUACCUCAAACCUUUUGUGCAGCUAAUUUGUACAUUAUUUGCGAGUAAAAUGUAAGAGUUAAAAAAUUUUAAAUUAAGAUUAAAAUUAGUAUAAAUUUUCAUGAAGUUUUACAAUUUACGGAAAAUUGAAAUUAACUUGGAUGUGUUCAGGUUCUAAAGAUAGAUUUUCAAUUUAGAUUUAAAUGUAAAACUAAAUUAUUAUUUAUUAAAUUUUUGCAUGAAACUGCUUACGCUGAAAGAGAAAAUAUCAUUUUUGGCAUACGGAUCAAUACAAUAAUCAAAAUAACAUUUUUUUAAACAGUCUAUUAAUAAUCGGCAUUGUAAGUGACAUUCACAUUCAUACACAUCACCUAAAUGCAUAAGUAUCGUAUGCAGACCCGUGCCAGUGUUCGCCGAUUAUAUCGCCGAUAUGAGUCAUGGCGUUUAACUGAGAUUACGGCAAUUUAUCAAGGCUGCCAUGUACUCUCGUUAUAAAUCGGGCAGUGCUUGACACGUCGCCUCAGACUGGCGUCAUUGACUUUUACAUAGACGUUCUUGCGAGACUCUUCUCAUAUUGUAAGAUGAAUAAAAAAAUUAAAAAGUUUUAUUCGCUGAAGUUACUAUAAGCUAUAGAAAACUAUAUCCGUUCGUUGCACACUACUAUGAAUAGAAGAGACAUCUUAUAAUUUAUAAUACAAAUAUAACGUCAAUCGAAGCAGUAAUAUCUCUUUUAUAUUCUAUGACUGGCUUUAUACACUGCACUUGGGUAUUUUCAGUUUUAUACAAUAAAACUGUCUAAGUAUCAUAUAUUUAGAAAAAAAUGCUAUGAUAUGAAUUAAAACGUAGUUUCAUUCAAUUAAACGUAGAAUUAUAGGCUGUCACUAAUAUAUUAUGUAGUUCAUUCAACUAAACUUUAUUCAUUCAACUAUAUGUUAUUGUCUUUACUUUUAAUUUUUUUGUUUUAUUAAUACAGCUUCUGAAUUAACAAAAUAUUUCCAAUUAGACUGAUGCUGUUGAUUCAGCAUUUUUUUCUUUGUGUACGCUCUUAUCUACGAAUUAAUCAUGAAAAUAACAAUAAUCAUGCAACAAUUUAUAACAACAGAAAGAGAGGGAAAGAUGAACUCGAUGCAACUGUGCGCUGUUGCGCAGCGCAAUGACCCAGUCAUUCUCUUUCUUUUCGUCCCCGUGAUUAUAUAGAGUGGCACGACACACGCAGAUGGCCGUCUCGAUAAUUUACAGAAUAAAUAAACCGACGGAAAAACGAAGACGAAGACACCUUAGGGGGUUGCGUAUCUACCUACCUACCUACCUACCGUCCGUCAGCAGGCGCCCGGCGUUUUUCACGAAUAUUAAAUCGGCUCGUGGAAUCGCCAUCCCGCCGCCGCGUCGCCGCCGUGCAACGACGCUGCUAGAUGCGUAUCGAGAUGCAUAUCGGGGUGAUCGCGCGAACGAAAUGGCGCUCCCGAACCAAUUAUCCCUCUCUCGAAUAUCCACAACGGGGUACCGAUCGCUCCGGGCGGCCGAGAUGCAGAUGAUGCGCCGCGCCGCUGGUGUGCUCGUUGAAUAUCGGCCGCGACGCGGCAUAUGAAUGGAGGAGGGUACGCACCGCGCCGAGACGUGCGCGCGUGUGCGUAAGAUAAUUGCUCGUGCGAUUUUGCGUAAUGCGGUAGAUACAAGAUUGCGAAAUCUCGAGAUCAGAGAAGCGCCUCGCGCGGAGCGCGACAGUGCGCAGCUGAGCGCACCCCCUGUCCCGUAAAUCAAGGGCGCGCGCUACUUGUAAUAAUUCCUCGAUGCUAAUUACGUGCCGCAUAAAGUUAAUCUCGAUACGAUGAUAAGACAGCAAUAACGAUAACUUGAUAGUCAUGCUUCAGGGGUGUCAUAGCGAAAAGGGCGAACGCGCAACGACUAUCGUCUAUUCCUAUCUUGAUGAAGCUCUUACAAAAAUAAUUCUAAUAACCGGUAAUAAGUAGUAAAAUAUCAUGUUGCGCGUAUUUUGAAUAAAAAUACAUAUAAAAAUACAUAUAAAAAUAAUUUUAUACUCAACAUGAUUUUUUCUCUCUCUCUCUCUCUCUCUCUCUCAAAUAAAAAGAUGAAUUUAGUAUAUUUUUGCAUACCUGACUCAUUCUUUUUAUUGAACAUUUGGCUGCCAACGCCGGAUGCAGAGAGUAGUUUAUAGUCAUUGAAAGCAAGAAGAUCGACAUAGUCGGAUUCAGACGGGGACUUGUGGGAGAUGGCAAGGGAGGUACUCGAAGACGGCUGUUCGAGCGCAACCUUCGCCCCCGGCGGGACCGCGGCCGGCGAGAUGUACGUUGAACAACACGAGGUAUCGCGAAGGAGCAGAAAUGUACGCAGGGGAAUGAAGGGAGAGGAGUACGCUCUCGGAGAAAGAGUAAAGCGGCGGUGGGCUGUACACGGGUAUAAUUACAGAGGGCAGAGCAGUGGCUAGACCCACUGCAGCAACUUACCGUUGCCCAAGGCGCCAGCAUAUACGAAAUCGACCGGAGCCCCGAUCCCGCUGCGACUCGGUCCUAAUUCGUAUUCGUGCCCCGGGUGUAGCAGAUAGGAUACGCCUCGAAAAACGGCGGAAGGACUGGCAGGAAUCUCCCGCACUACGCCCUUCUUUCUGUUCGCCGCGCGUUCUUUCUUCUUCACUUCUUCUUCUUCUUUGCAAUGCAGAUCUCGAUGGGGUGAACAAGAGUCUUUUGUAGGGUAAAGUAACGUCUUUGUAAGUGAAAGGCACAAGGAAGUUCAAGGAGAGGAAAUAAUAAUGUAGCAGAUCUUGGAUCGAUUAAUAGUUAUUUUUUUCAUAUUUUUUGAAUAUUUCAGUGUAAUAUGUAUUAUGUGUCGUAUGUGCUGCACAGCGGCAGUUCACGCAUAUGUAAUUAUUUUACUGUUCCAUCGAUUUAAGCGUUACCAGGUUUAAUCGUAUCGCAUAACUGAUCGCAAAGCGUAAAUCUGCACUGUUUCUCUUAUAUACCGUGUAUGGGCAAACCAUGUUGAAGUCGAUUGAUAUUUUUCUUUUGGUGCGCAAUGCCAAGGUAGGCUCGACCUUAUAUCUACGUGCUUUUAUUCUCACUCCGGCUUAAUACGCGCGAACGAGAGUGGUGACUCCGAAUCCUCUAAUUUUGGUUGGCCGCGGCCACCGAUAAUUAACGAACUAUAAUCAGUGGACCGCUCCACGUAACGCAACGUAACGAAACGUAACCUGGCGCCUUUCGGGCCCCGGCUGGCUGGGCUGCAUUAAGCUCUCUGCACACCGGUAUAAUUGUGCGUAUACAGGCACAUAAGAACAAUUUAUCAGAUGUCACUAAUUAGAUUAUGAUGAGGCCAGUCUACCGCCCAGUCACUAAUACUGAAUGGGAAGCUUCAAGUUUUACGCCCGCAAAACAGUCGUCUAUGCACCGGGUUAACAGCAUGCAACAAAUUGUAUAAGCCGUUGAAUUUCAAUUGUUUUUAGAGAAAAAGAAUUUCAUCAUUAAUAUUUCGUAAUUGAAUUAAUAUUAAAAUAACUUUGCAUUAUUAAGAAUCAUCGAAAAUGAUUAACGUAACCUUCUACCUUUAUGAUUUUUGUGUCUUUGUGAAACGUGAUGUGUGUGAUAAUAACUAUUAAUUUUUCAUACUUCAAAAUUUAUGCGGGAAAUAAAAAUAUCAUUACUUAAAUUAUGAUCUUCCGAGAUACUAAAUCCCAUUUCCUCUUCCUCUGGUACUGCUGGAAUAUAUACUAUGUCCGGCGCAUGAAGGGGCGUUUCUUCAGCGACGGAUGAGAGCAGCCUAAACAUUUCGCUCUUACUAAUUACACGGUGCUGCGGUAUUGCUGCGAACGGGAGCCGAGGGCCUUGCGGCGGUAAAACCGGGUGAGCGACAUUGCGAGCGCGAUCUGCAGAUUCGGGUCGCGUGAGAUGUUUCUUCGCGGUCAUCAGGAGAGAAAUAAUACGUGUGCAUGCGUAUAUACAUAUACACAUGCACGCAAGCAAAGUAUCUACAAUGAUGAAUGACGUGCGCGAGGAAAGCGAUGGAAUUUAUCGCCGGUGGCAUUUUAUAUGCCUGUGACAGAAACUACCGCGAGUGGUUGCGGAGAACCGCCCUUGAUUGGUGUACUAUUUGGUUUAUGGUAGCUGACUUUAACUGUGAUGAAUAAUGUAUCCGUAAAUGCUAAUGAAGUAAGAAAACAUUCUUUUUUAUUGCACCAGUUGACGCUAAACAUCAGUUACAUUACAUCUAUGUUAAAAUUUCGCAUUUAAUAAUGUAAAUGUAAUAUAACAACAUGUAUUAUUGUAUUAUAUUUACAUUGUUGAGUGCAGAAUUUUAACAUAGAUAUAAUGUAACUGAUGCUCGAUUGGGAUAUAGAGGUCUAAAAAGUGUAAUUUUUUUUUUAUUAUGUUAGAAUUCCAACUGCUAAGUAUUCAACUGUGCAAUAUCGCAAAAUACAAUAAUUUUUGCACGUGCAAAUAAUAUAAAACAACAUUAUAUAACAAUAGAUCUUUCUAACAUUAACGAAAGUUAAUAAUUCAAUGUUAAUAACUCAAUGUUAAUCGAUUUAUUUGAGGAAUAAUUCAGAUUCUAUCGAUUUCUUCCAUCUUCUUACAGAUGCUUUUUACCGUAUUUCCUAUUCUUUGUACCUACCUGUUUUUGUGUCCAGCAAUUCUGCAAUAAGUUUAAUAUGUUUAUCUCCCCUAUCUAUUACUUCUUCCAACAAACCCCUAUGUUUGUUCGCCCUCUUUUCCCUCUGCGUGCAUUUCCCUCGAGCAUUCAAGCAACUCCGCUUCUCCUGUUCUUUUAUCGUAAUCACUCUCUGGAAGAAAAUGACAUAGAGCGUAGCUAUUUCGUGCAGUUGUUAAUUUAUCGAGGCUAUUCAUAGGGAUCGAUUCUUCUUUUCUGUUAGACUCCACCAAACUUCUUCCGUACGAAGGUUUCGAAACUGGAUCGGAUAUGGAAGAGCGAUACACAGUGGACGGCUUGGCGCGCACCCCGCAAGCAGAAAUUAUCCACUUUUGCGGUAAUUCGUGGCUUCCGACGCGCAUGCGGCACCGCGCAAGAUGGCCGCUGACUCGCGAGUCCCGAUUGGCGACGACGGGGCGGGUUAUUUGAGCGGCGGUUGGUGGUUCAGCGUUACCCGGCGCGAGUAAUUUUGAUCGUGAUUAUACUAAUUUCAUAGUAUGCCCCUUCUCGGUGGCUUAAAGCAUCGGCCAGGUUCACACGAACGGCGACGCGAGCCAGGAGUAACAGUGCCCGCGAAAUACAGAGCGGUUCGAGGAGUCUUCUCCGCGCUGGUCACAUCCGAUUUCAAAUUUUCAAUACUGAUUGCAACUGCUAUUGGUGGAUAGCGCCAAAUUCGAGGUACGUUUCUCGUAAGAAAUACAAGACGACGUGACGUAACUUGUCUAGACGACAUCAAGUUGAUAGUUUUAUUAAAAUCGAAAACUGAAAAAAAUAGGUGUGUAUUGUACUAUUUUUAAUCGUUUAUUUAAAUUGUACGAAAAUAAUUUUUGGUAGAUGAGUUUGUUUUGCUGUAAUGUUGUUAUAAAUUUAACAAUUGAUUGAUUGUCAAACAUGUGGUUCAGCGCGUAUGAAGCGCAAAUUCCGUGCGGCUCACGUUAUUUUUUUUUCCCUACGAGCGGAAUAGAAGCCGGAACACGAGGAACGCCGAGCGUGCGAAGCAGCCGCUAUUGCUAUUAACGUUGGCUAUAUUGAACCAUAAUUGUCCCGCGUUGUUAGUGCGGUGUAUUCACAAGCGAAAGGCCCCCGUUUCGCCUUCGUCCCUCUGCACGCCCCUCCUCUCAUUCCCUCUCAUUCCCUUUGCGGUUCUCUCCUCGUCACGCGUUGCCGCUAUCCUUCUUCUUCUUUUCGGAAUUCCUUCUCUCGUUCUCCCUCUCUCUUAUUCGUACCCUCGAUACCUCUCCUCUCCUCUCCUCGUGGGCAACAAGCGGAGCAGCGCUGCCGCCGCCACCGUCGCCAUCGCCGUUCUGGUGGGGGCUAAAUUACUACAAUUUUGUACUUUUUAUACCGCGAGGGAAAAAAAGAGGAUAAUUUUUGGUAGAAACGCAACAAUUUUAUCGGCCGUUGUUAUGUGAGAUCAGUUGGUGUCUACUGCCGCUGCGCGUUACACCUGUCUGCUUCGUGCGCUCCGAUCCGCAACGAGACCAACGUGCUCCCGAAUGUCACUUUAAUCAGGGAAUGAUUCCGCGACCUCUUUAGCACCGAGACGCGCGUCGAUAGCCGCCAUCUUGACGACCUUGAGGAAUAAUCUUUGUGGCACCUACCAUGCGUCAACCUGCCUAUCAACCUCGCGAUUGCAUCCGUCGAAAUCGGGACAGGUGACGCAAUGUCAAUCGUAUUAUUUUAUUUCCUGUACGGUGACAUCAGAGUGGAGUGUUCUCACUCGCACGUGCCGUGACGACGCAAUGAGACUCGUGAAAUGUCAACGAAACUUUUAGCUUCAAGACAUGUGCGUGAUUACUCGUGCUACCAAGUGCGUGCAGCGCAGACAGAUGGUCGCCAUUUUGGUAAACGUUCAUCCUUCUCCCACUAGACGUUAUACGCAAUUUUUACAUGUGCAACAGCAUUGCUGUGAUAGUGAAGACUGACCAACUAAGAUUUCUUGUAAAAGUUUCUUUUCUUUCUGCUAAGCUGUUAUUUUGCCAAAGUGCCUCACUUUGGACGUUUGGCAUAAUGGGCAUGUUCACAUGUGAUAAGUUAGCCGGGUGGCGAGGAACUAGUGCUAUGAGAAGGGCAUAACCGUGACGUUUUCCGAAAAUUGUCGCCAGCAUGCGAUGCCGUGCACGCUUCACACAUGGUAUACGACAGGUAUACCAUCACAGGAACGCAAUUCUAUCAAUUUCGUCAUUCUCGAAGGGGCAAAAGAUGCGCGUUCGUUACUUUUGACAGCUGGCCUGCACCAUUACGCCAAUAACACAUCAUCGUCGCGCAACGAGCGGCAACGAUCCGUUUGUUAGAGUAUUCAUGGCAUCAAGUAUAAGGAAAGCGUAAAAUGACACGAGGCAAAUUGCAUCGUUUGGUGGCACUGAAAUUUGCACGAAAAAAUACAGAACGGUCGGCCAAAUAUCGCAAACGCAUGCAUGCGAAAUGGCUUGUAUUGCCUGACAAUUAUUCAGAGAAACGAGCUUCGUAUGACACGCAAUAUGAAUAACACGACAGUGCCAGUUUGCCCGUGGAUCAACAUCAAAUAUCGAAAAACUUACGUAAUUCUCUAGCUUUACAUACAAUUAGCUGCUUUGCUUUACUACUUCUACCAUGGCUAAGACGAUACAACACGUCAUACAUCGUAUGCAUUUGUUUAAUAAUGUCACGAACUUUUACAACCCCGCAAUCCUUAAUUCUUAGUUAAUAUCACGCAAAGCAAUAAGAACUCUAUAAGAUGAUUGUUGAUGGAAUGAAAGUGAUACUAUUGCUAUAUUAUUUUAUGACAUUCAUUCACGUGACUAUAUUGUUCUACUCUUAGAGAUAUCUUCAUAAUAUUUCUAAAAAUUUGUUGUUUUAUGACAUUUUUAUUUGUUAGAUCAAAGUUCCUGUUUAUUUUAUUCCUUUAUCUUGCUGCUGUCAUAUUGUGACUGUAACUAAUGUUCUUUGCUAUACAGAAAGUGUAGAUAUUUUUUUUAUCGUUCUUAAUAGCUACUGAGAAUGUCGAAUAGCAAUGGUGCUUUCUUUCUAGAGCGCUUCAGUUUGCCAUCGGCAUUUUGGCGUUAGGCGAUAAAUCUCGGGGCGAGUGGGCUUUAGGAGCCCUCGCCGUGUUAGAAAAGAAGAAAGUAGAAUGCGAAAACGAGGGAAUGCGCGCUGCCAAUAGAUUUACGAGGCCAUCCGUCUUCGUAGUACGCACUUGAUGCUCACGCUCGCGAUAAAAGCGCAGCUCAUCUACGCGUAUACGUACAUGUGCGGCACGGCACGUAUACAUACGUACGUACGAUUCCAGAGGAACGGUUCGUUAUUAUAACCCAUGAGGCGUAAUUGUUUCCAAGGAACCAACAUGGAGAAGACCUUGCCUGAGAACCCAGAGGUAUUAGCAGUCUUUCUACAGGACGUUUCAGCAAUAGUGCCAGUAGUCACGAUCACUUUGCUCGAUUCUAAUUGUAGUAACAUGAAAGAACUACGUAUUAAAAGAUUUGCAUAUUACUGUGAUGAAGUGAAAAUAGGAGGAUUCGUUUAUCGAAGAUUAUAAAAUACAUUCAUUUAUAUAGAAAUAAAACAGAAAGUUAUUGAUCCAACUCGUGCUUCUUCUAGUUUUAUUAAACUUAAGCUCGAUCUUAAUAAAAUCUUGAAAGAAACGCAAUUUAAGAAAGUUGCACAAAACAAAUUAAAAUGAUUGAUAAAUUGACUACUUAAACUUAUUCAUCGUUUAAUACUUGUGUAACUUAUCAGAAUGUGCAGGAAAGUAUGUUAGCACGAGCUAUAAUUUAAAUUCGACGAAGUUGCAGCUACGAAGCGAUAGCAUAAGUUCUAGACAGACGUGUGAUGGCAAGUACUGCAUUAACAUAACAGAGUGAUAACACGCGGCACGUGAGCCUUAGAAGGAUUUUGUUAAAUUUGAAGGAGAGUUACAAAUAUAAUGUGACGGCUCAGACGGCACCGAUAUUGAUGAGACCUUGCUCGAAAAUGUCGUGAUGUUAGUUGGCUUCCGCGGGAAGCCCGAAUGAUAGUGCCGCUAGUCACGACUACCUCGGUCGAUUGUAAUCUAGCGAGCGCGAAGAAAGCCCACGGUUGUAUUUUUAUCAGAGAUCAUGCAAAGUUGCCUUUUUUUACAGGCGUGCAGCGUCGGAAAUCUACGGCGGCUUAUCGAUGUUGCGACUGCAUUCGAACUCCGUGUAAGGUAAUAACGCCGAAAAUAAUCGGCGAUGAAAUAGACGAUUUGUAAAAUCGCGAUUAAAUUAGGAUAGGUAAACGGCGAUGUUGACAUGUUUGAUCAAAUUUGUUGUCCGUUUAGAACGACGCAAUAAAUUACGAAACUCGACGUAUAAAUCAGCCGCGGUUAAUUUUAUUUGCUUCCAGAUUUGCCCCGCGCGAUGACGACUAAAAGGUACAAGUCUUGUUAAGAGUAUCACAGCUAGAAGAUUAUCCUUGGAAGAGCGUUUCCCGAUCGUGGCGGCUGCAUAAUUAAUCGAAUAAUAUGCAAAUUUCUUUGCGGUAAUAAACGUCGAACUAUUAAUCAAACCGUUAAAUUACCGCCGAGUUUCCAUCGCGAAAAGAUGAAGAAAAACGUGAAUAAAACACGGCCAUUAAUUAUAUAAUAUUAUUCAUUCGAAAAGCAUAUUAUUACUACGCAUUCCGAGCGUGUGCCAUUACGUGAUUAAUUAGAUACUUUAACGGACAGAACAAAUAUUAAUAAAAUAAUGUUUGUGGGAGUAGCAUCGCAUUCCAAAAAGAGUCAAAGUCAUUAAACGUAAUCCAAAAUGCAAUAUAAACUUGGAUUUUUUUCGCUUUAUCUGUUAUUUAUUAUUUUUAUUAGACGGUUCUAGAAACUAUUUUUCUUUUAACGCGAUUUGCAUCUCUGCAUCAGAUGCAAUCUUUUAAUGUUUCAUAUGGGUUCGAGGCAAGCGCAAAUCCACGACCGCUUAUUUACGCGCGAAAUUUUUGCGCAAUGUUCUCGCGUGUUACAAGAAAACAGUGGAGAUACGUAAGUCGGAGGGGAAAAAAAUGAUUUUUUUAGAGCGCGAACCCGGAAUGGCGCCGGCGGUCCGGUUUAAUCUCGACACGCCCAUUACACACGACGUACAUAUUACAUCACGAUCGCACUCGAUAGCAAGCGUAUCUAUACAAGCCCUAUUCCCCCGUGCCUACCUACGAUACGUGUAAGCCGCAAUUAAAAUUCAAGAAAAAUUCUCGGAAACCUGUUUCGAGACUGAGCGAAAUAUUUCGCUGCGAGGUGGUCACGCAGGAACGCCAGUCACGGAUGAUCUCGUUUAAUUGCCCUUAGCCAUUAGAUACUCCCCCCUCCCCCUCUCGAUAUUUUUAUCGUCUGACAUGUCCGACGUUCUUCGUUAGUGAUCAAUUAUUCCGCGCGAAAUUAGGAUAAUUUUCGACACCUUGUUACAAGCAGAAAAAUAUUUUUCUCUUGUUAAGAGAAGCGUUCCUACUCAAUUUAUAUUUCUUCUUCUCGUAAGCAUCGAUUAUUUCUAACAAAGAAUAUUUUCUUGCAGAUAAUUGUCUUCAAAUAUGUGUAUAUAUAUGAUUAAUAUUUUUCUGUGCAGAAGUAGACUCCUGGCCAUUCAAGGAAACAACUUCAGCUACGAUUUAUAUUAUAAUAGAUGUACCUAUAUUUUCUUAUCAUUGAUAUAAUUUAGCCAAAGCUUAUAGUUAUAACAAAGAAGAAUUUAAUAAUGUUAUAUUUGUAUGACACAUUUUUAUAAUUUUAUAUUUAUUAAUAAAUAUAUCUCAAUAACGAAAUUAUAA